UGAUUGUGGGGAUACCAGGAUACCAGCUAUGACCCCCUUCUCCUCCUGGGAGAAGUCUAUUGAUAUCACCAGUAAUGAGUUCUGCUUCCUCACAUGUUGAAGUUUGAACAUUAGAGAAGCACGACCGGGCAAGCAUAUGAAGAAGGGUUUAUGUAAAAAGGGGUAACAGACUUUAUAUGUCCUAGCCUUCCUUUGCUGUCCUGCUCUCCUUAUCUUUCUCCUUCCUGCAAACAUGACUAGAACCCAGGAAUGCCCAGUGGGACUGCCAAGAGGUGGGAAUCAGGUGGGCUGAAGGGGGAAGGGCAGAAGGGUGCAGCCCGGGACACAUCAAUUGACAACUUGAUAGCUCCUUGGGGGAGGGGGGCAAUUCCAAGGACAGGUUACCUUCAUCACAGGUUGGAGCUGGGACAGGUCCUUGGUAAGGGUGGAGGAAGGGCUCUGAAGGAAUUAACAAUUCAAUUCCUCAGGACACAGUCUCCUACUUCCGGGGACUCACUCAGAUUGGCCUGACUCUUCUGACCUGACUUGAUUUAUCUAUGUAUAUUGACUGCUGUUAGGUGCAGGGCAGGCUGAACAAACGUUAGCUGCUGGACAACCCAUGCACUCAAACCCGCCUCUGCCUGGUCCUUUAUCACCUGUUUGCAUCAAGUCUGAACACUCCACCCCACUCAAGGCUGAACACUCGACCCCCACCCGUCUAGGGCAAUGGAAACCCACAUCUAGCCCCUGCCCCGUCUGCCUGAAGGCAGAUGACCCUACUGUGUGAUCCAAUCACUGUACACCAACAAGGCAGCUUGCAGACCCAGAGACCCCAUUAGAUUUGGACUAUUGUCCCGUCCGGCAGGACACAUCAACGUGGGCAGCAAACCUAGAUGGGGAGGAAUGAAGGGACAAGAGACACAGAAGGAUGACAGCAAGACAAGAGUUCUGAUCAAGCUGCAAACUUUUAUUGUUCACACAGGGGUAUUUAUAUGCUGGGGAUGGGGAAGCUCUCUUAUCGGUAGUUGCUGGAUGUCUGCACAAGGUGAGAUAACCGCAGGAUGUUUCAGGAAGAUAGGUUUCAGGCAGAUAGGUGGCCGCAGGAUGUCUCAGGUGAGAUAAGUAGCUGCAGGAUGCCUCCCAGGCAGGAUGUCUCCCAGGGGGCUGUCAGGCUAAUCUUUGAAGGAGAAUUUCCUUCUAGUCCCUGACAGACUAUAAAAACUCCCUCCUGCCAGGCCCCCCCUCUCUUGCUCUCUCUCUGUCUCCUCCUCUUGCUUUAGCUCUCCCUUGCUCUCUUUCUUCUCUCUCUCUCUCUCUCUUUCUCCUCUUUUGCACUGCUGCAAUAAAGAUCUGUUGGUCCCUCUGUUACGCUGUUGACCGGUGACAAGUCCUUGCUUCCCCAAUGUUGAAGAAUAACACCAGAGAAGCACGCCGAGGCAAGGUCAGAGUAGAAAUUAGAAGUUUAUUAAAGGACAGCAGAAAAGACUUCUCCCAGAGGAAGAAGGGGACCCAAGAGGUGGAAUCCGUGGAAGUGCGGUGGUUUUCUCUUUUUAUAGUUCUGGUGAUGGAAUGUAAGGGGGAAGGGUUGGGACACAGGUGGGCCAAACAAGUAAUCUGGGCAGGAAGGACUUCAUUAACACUUCUUUGGGAUGGGCUAUCUUCAAAUCUGCUGGGGCUGUUCAUUAACAUUUCUUUGGGAUGGACUUUGGGCCUAGGGCUUUUCUCAGGACUUCAUUAACAUUCCAUGAGUUGUCCUGCCUUUCCCAGAAUUCAUUUUCAGCAUGGCCUCCAUUUUAGAUUUCACUCGAUAUUAGACCAAAUUUACCUAACUAUACUGACUAGCUAAUUUUAAAUCUGGCUUCACCUCCAAGUGUUGUGGUCACUUUCCUUUCAACUGCCAGUCUAGUUCUGGCUUCACUAUGCUAACUCUUUUUAAAAUAAAUCCUGCUUUAGGGGCUGGGGCUGUGGCUCAGUGGUAGAGCACCCACCUCGCAUGUGUGAGGCACUGGAUUCAAUCCUCAACACCACAUAUAAAUAAAUAAAGAUAUUGUGUCCAACUACAACUAGAACAAAUAUUUUUUUAAAAAAACCUGCUUUAUAUGCUUGCCUCCGCCUGCUUCUCUAAUGUUGGGACUUCAAGGUGUGAGGGAGCAGGACUCAUCACUGAUAACCUGUGGUAUCACUAGGCAAGCACUUUACCACUGAGUUACAACCAUAGCCCCUAAAUCUCACUUUUUUGUUUGUUUGUUUGUUGGACACAAUACCUUUAUUUUAUUUUUAUGUGGUGCUGAGGAUCAAACCCAGAAUUUCACUUUUUUGUUUGUUAGUUCUUUAUUUUUUUAAUAUUUAUUUUUUAGUUUUACAUUGACACAAUAUCUUUAUUUUAUAUUUAUGUGGUGCUGAGGAUCGAACCCAGUGCCUUAUGCAUAUUAGGCGAGCUACCACUGAGCCACAAGCCCAGCCCCCUUUAUUUUAUUUUUAUGUGGUGCCUGUAAGAGUAAAAGAAAUUGAAGUUAAAGUGUAAAAGACGGGGUAUUGUAAAGCUUCUAAGCUGCAAAGCCUGAGUUAAAAUGUAAAGGACCAGGUAUUGUUAAAUUCCUAUGCUAUACCCAAAACCUGAAAUUCCUGUAGCUGUUAGGACAAUUCCCGGGACUGCCCAGUAAAUAUUCCCCCUGACCAUCUAGUUGUUUAAUAACCUAGGACCCUGUGCAGCUUGGCAUGUAGGCAUCUCAAGGCCUAAACCAAUCAGUUUGAAUGUGUACCCUGCUUUAUAACUGAUCUAUCACGCCCUACCUGUUCCCGCCAAUGAACGUACUAAUCAUGUUCCAGAGUUGUUGUUUGAUUCCCCCCCCCCCAUGAUGAUUUGCUCUGGUGUAUGCAAAGCCCCCGCCCUCCCCAAAAAGUGUACUUAAGCACUGCUUAACCCCUGCUCGGGGCUCUGGGCCACUCUCCCUUGUUGAGUGAGCACGGAGCCCCAGCGCACUGGAUUCUCAAUAAACCCCCUUCUGCGGUUGCAUGAGUCGGUCUCUUGGGGUCAUUUGCCGGACCCUUACAGUGCUGAGGAUGGAACCCAGAGCCCAGCACAUGCUAGGCGCUCUACCUCUGAGCCAAAAC
rnacentral:lncRNA from 1 species